UUAUUAGGAUUCACAGGAGAGUGAGCCUUGUGCACAAUCUGAAGAAAGGAUUCCAUAUUGCAGACCUGCUUCCAGGCUCUGAGUUCAGAGGAAGAAAACUAGAGAAUCUUCAUUCAACAAAUCUGUGUUAAGUGCCAGCUGUGUGCCAGGCACUGUUCUGAGAUGGUGGGGUGUACCAACACGAAGAAAUGGCCCCGCCCCAGAGGAGCUGACAGUUACAGGAUGCUGGUGAGAUGGACAAGGAAUCUCCAGGCAAGAAAUCUCACCAGGAGACUGGGACUUGGAAAUGCAGACAGAAGACCUCCAAGCUGAAGAUGUAAAUGUGGGGAAGCGGUGGAGCCCGCGCGGAGCGAUUGUGAGGGGCUCUGCUGGAAUUUGGCAACGUGGAGGCUUGGAGAGCAGCCCCAUGCUGGCUCCUAUUCAGCAGGCCAGUUUUCCUCGAGCUUUGGAAGUUUCACUCAGCCGUGCACUCAAUGGCUUCACAAAGCUGAUUACAAGCUUCAGCGCAUUCCUGAAGGAGCCAAAAGCGACGCAGGUGCAAACGAGCUGAGGGAGCCCCUUAUCCCGGUGACAGAAUGGGACAAGCUGGGAAAGGCUUGGACCACACAAAUCCAAGCUCACCAGGCAGCAGAAAGCCUGCCUUGGGAACCGGGGGUCAUUAUCCGCCCUAUUCAGCGGGGCCCGGGGACCCUAGGGGCCCCGGAGGCCGGCCUGCGCCGGAGUGCCAGUACGCGCCUGUGGGAGUGGAGACCUCGCCUAGCCCUGCGGCGAGGCUGGGGCGCCCAACGGCGGUGUGUGCGUUUAGACCUACAGCAUCCGUGAUAUUCGUGAUCCGACAGGCCGUGUCAACACCACUAGGGACAGAGGAGGAAAGGCCGUGAAAGAGGCAACAUGGGCGUGGACAGUGCGCAACGUUUGUUCAUCCCGAGUCAGAUGGCACUGCCCUACCCCCUCCCCAGCCUGGAGCCGCAGGUCCCCAUCGGUCCCCCAGGCCACGGACUCAGCUCCGAGAGUCACACUGUGCCUUUUCUCCCCCAGUCCGCCUUUCCCAUUCAUCCUCACGGACAGCGGGGCCGCGGGGGCAACUAGACGAGGUGCGCUUGGGAGCUACAGUGAUUGGCUGCAAGGAGCGGGGGGCAGUCGGCCACAGGGCCUCCCUGUCGAAGCUCGCUCGGAGUGGCCAAGGUCCCACUCCAUCGCUGCGUGUGUAAUUCCAACGGGGGCAGGAGGGCCAGUCCACUCCGAAAAAAUGAAUGACGUUCCUGCUCCGGCUCAAAGACAGAAAACCAGGGCCUGCGGGAGGCGGGAAGAGAGGGGCAGCGCAGCGGGUAGCGCGCGGGAAACCGCGGACUCGGGGCCCUGGAAGGGAACGUGGGUGUAGAAGGGACUAGAGGCGAGGUGGGGGCGGAGCUGGCGCGCAGGCGCCCCUGGGGCUCCGGGAGUCUCAGAGGGAGCCCCGCGCCGCCUCCAAGCAAGCGCAGCACUCGAGGGCUUGCG